GAUGAACGCUGGCGGCGUGCCUAAUACAUGCAAGUCGAGCGAACAGACGAGGAGCUUGCUCCUCUGACGUUAGCGGCGGACGGGUGAGUAACACGUGGAUAACCUACCUAUAAGACUGGGAUAACUUCGGGAAACCGGAGCUAAUACCGGAUAAUAUAUUGAACCGCAUGGUUCAAUAGUGAAAGACGGUUUUGCUGUCACUUAUAGAUGGAUCCGCGCCGCAUUAGCUAGUUGGCAAGGUAACGGCUUACCAAGGCAACGAUGCGUAGCCGACCUGAGAGGGUGAUCGGCCGCACUGGAACUGAGACACGGUCCAGACUCCUACGGGAGGCAGCAGUAGGGAAUCUUCCGCAAAGGGCGAAAGCCUGACGGAGCAACGCCGCGUGAGUGAUGAAGGUCUUCGGAUCGUAAAACUCUGUUAUUAGGGAAGAACAAAUGUGUAAGUAACUAUGCACGUCUUGACGGUACCUAAUCAGAAAGCCACGGCUAACUACGUG
rnacentral:rRNA from 1 species